GUCUGCGUGGAGCUGCAUCAAGUUUAACUCUCAGCAGAACUAACUAGGUACCAUCACCAAAACAUGCAUUUUUAUGCUUAUUAGACCUUGAUUUUGGCUUUGCGCAUGUUGAUAUUGUGUUGGUCAGACGAAACCACUGUUGGAUAUUUGUGUAGUUAAUAUCAGAGUUGUCUGAAAGAUGCGGUGAUCGCUUUCAAAGAAUGUUGGACCAUCACAGAUUUGUUUUGGUUCACCAGACGUGGAUCUCGUGACUUCAAAAACCACCAGCAAAGUGAAGAGGUUAAAGGGACUCUCCAGUGCCAGGAAAACAGUCCAUUUUCCUCGGGUCCCCUCUCCCUCCCAAUCCUCGGUUGCUGAAGGGGUGAAAACCCCUUCAGUCACUUACCUGAGACCCCUGCCGAUGUCCCUUGGCGGUGGUUUUCGGGUCGCCACCGCUCG